GCCGGGCGCUCCAACCAAGCUAAAUUGGGCCUAAAAGCCACGGGCUCGGGCAAUAAAUCCAUUUUUAAUCAACCACGGACUCCAUGAACUAGUUUUCUUACUCCUAACAUUGUUAUUAUUCAAAAUCCUGAAGCCAGACAUUGCCCCUUCUACAGACAGCUCGAGGCCUCAGCAAAACCAGAAACUGUCCCAGCGGCAUUGGUACAGGAAGCUUCAGCUGGCCGAUUAUUGUAAGUCAGUUUCACAUCCUCCAAUUCAAUUCCAGUGCAUGGAUACUUGGUGCUACAAUCCAAUUUCACUGCCACUUCCGUUGCUGAUGAUCCAUGGAUGUCUUGGUAUGUCACGUCGCUAAUUUUAACACCGGAUUCCUGGUUAGGACAAUUUUUGUCGCCAGGACAAUAAUUUUGAUCAAUCAAAAUUGGGUUUUGGACAUUGGUCAUAACAGCAUGUUGGAAAAGAAUGUUCCUAGCAAAACCAUUGCUGGGUCUCCCCCAGGCUUUAAUCCUCACACCAUUUUCAGUGCCGGUAAAGGUAGUAGUCUUAACAGUUACAUUUUGCACUCCAUCUUCUUCAAGUUUCUUGCCUAAACUUCCAAUGCUGAUUCCAUGGCCAGGUCC
rnacentral:misc_RNA from 1 species